GAUGAACGCUGGCGGCGUGCUUAACACAUGCAAGUCGAACGAAGCAUUUAAGACAGAUUACUUCGGUUUGAAGUCUUUUAUGACUGAGUGGCGGACGGGUGAGUAACGCGUGGGUAACCUGCCUCAUACAGGGGGAUAGCAGCUGGAAACGGCUGGUAAUACCGCAUAAGCGCACAGUACCACAUGGUACAGUGUGAAAAACUCCGGUGGUAUGAGAUGGACCCGCGUCUGAUUAGCUUGUUGGCGGGGUAACGGCCCACCAAGGCGACGAUCAGUAGCCGACCUGAGAGGGUGACCGGCCACAUUGGGACUGAGACACGGCCCAGACUCCUACGGGAGGCAGCAGUGGGGAAUAUUGCACAAUGGAGGAAGCUCUGAUGCAGCGACGCCGCGUGAGUGAAGAAGUAGUUCGCUAUGUAAAGCUCUAUCAGCAGGGAAGAUAGUGACGGUACCUGACUAAGAAGCUCCGGCUAAAUACGUG
rnacentral:rRNA from 1 species